CUAAUUUUUAAAUCUAGUUUGCGGUAUGUAGUCCUCCAUAAAACAGAACAAGAUGGCUUGUGUGAAGUACUGCCUUUUGGUAAUGUGUUUUUUUCUGAUAAUGAUAGAUAACAUCGAAAAUGCCCCAGCGACUGUAACUCAAAGUCCAAUUGAAAGUAUACUUCCUCUAAUUCGGCCCAUAAUUUUACCUCUUUGCAAGAAACCUUUAGAGCUGGCAGAAGAUGGGACAUGUAGAGAAGUAGAACGUUAAACAAAAAUAACAUUACAAAGACCAACAAACCAUUCAUUUCAUGAGGCAACUAGAUGAGGUACCAUGAAGAAAUUUGAUUACUCAAAAAGAAAAUGUAAAAGUAAUUAUAAUUAUGAUAUAUUAAAAAAAUAUUAUAUUGCAUAGUAUUAAAUUAU